AUUGAACGCUGGCGGCAUGCUUUACACAUGCAAGUCGAACGGCAGCGCGGGCUUCGGCCUGGCUGCGAGUGGCGAACGGGUGAGUAAUGCAUCGGAACGUGCCCAGUAGUGGGGGAGAGCCCGGCGAAAGCCGGAUUAAUACCGCAUACGACCUGAGGGUGAAAGCGGGGGACCGAAAGGCCUCGCGCUAUUGGAGCGGCCGAUGUCGGAUUAGCUAGUUGGUGGGGUAAAGGCUUACCAAGGCGACGAUCCGUAGCUGGUCUGAGAGGACGACCAGCCACACUGGGACUGAGACACGGCCCAGACUCCUACGGGAGGCAGCAGUGGGGAAUUUUGGACAAUGGGGGCAACCCUGAUCCAGCCAUGCCGCGUGCGGGAAGAAGGCCUUCGGGUUGUAAAGCGCUUUUGUUCGGGAAGAAAUCCUCUGGGCUAAUACCCCGGGGGGAUGACGGUACCGGAAGAAUAAGCACCGGCUAACUACGUG
rnacentral:rRNA from 1 species